AGAGUUUGAUCAUGGCUCAGGACGAACGCUGGCGGUGCGCUUAACACAUGCAAGUCGAGCGAGAACCAGACCUUCGGGUCUGGGGACAGCGGCGAACGGGUGAGUAACACGUGGGUAAUCAACCCUCGGUACUGGGAUAGCCCGGGGAAACCCGGAUUAAUACCGGAUGGCCCUUUGGAUCUUCGGAUCUGACGGAAAAGGUAGCUUCGGCCUCCGACCGAGGACGAGCCCGCGGCGGAUUAGCUUGUUGGUGGGGUAAAGGCUCACCAAGGCGACGAUCCGUAGCUGGUCUGAGAGGACGAUCAGCCACACUGGGACUGAGACACGGCCCAGACUCCUACGGGAGGCAGCAGUAGGGAAUCUUGCGCAAUGGGCGAAAGCCUGACGCAGCGACGCCGCGUGAGGGAAGAAGGCCUUCGGGUUGUAAACCUCUUUCAGGAGGGACGAAGCCACUCGGGUUAAUAGCCUAGAGGGUGACGGUACCCCCAGAAGAAGCCCCGGCUAACUACGUGCCAGCAGCCGCGGUAAUAC
rnacentral:rRNA from 1 species